rnacentral:rRNA from 1 species
UACGUAGGGGGCGAGCGUUGUCCGGAGUUACUGGGCGUAAAGCGCACGCAGGCGGUCUGCUAAGUUUGGAGUGACAGUUGAUGGCUCAACCAUCAAAGUGCUUCGAAAACUGACAGACUUGAGGGCUUCAGAGGGACACGGAAUUCCGGGUGGAGUGGUGAAAGUGCGUAGAGAUCCGGAGGAACACCGAAGGCGAAGGCAGUG